rnacentral:tRNA from 1 species
GGAGUAUAGCUCAGAGGUAGGGCACAUGCUUAGCAUGCACAAGUCCUAGGUUCAAUCCCCAGUACCUCCA